UUCAGUUGCAAAAUUGUAUUG
rnacentral:piRNA from 1 species